rnacentral:rRNA from 1 species
AAAACGACUCUCGGCAACGGAUAUYUCGGCUCUCGCAUCGAUGAAGAACGCAGCGAAAUGCGAUACUUGGUGUGAAUUGCAGGAUCCCGCGAACCAUSGAGUCUUUGAACGCAAGUUGCGCCCGAAGCCUUUUGGCCGAGGGCACGUCUGCCUGGGUGUCAYUC